rnacentral:other from 1 species
CUUUCCCUGCCUGGUUCGCCAAGGCCAAUAGUUCCUUGAACCGAUGCGCAAGCAUCAGGAACGAUCUUUACUUUGUGGGCGUGAGCGUUUCGAUUCUUCACAGUGGCAGCUCGAGCUGUUUACUCCCUGAGUAUCUUAAUGCACCCAAAACAAGGUAGCCGUUCCACCUUGAACCUUAGGGUUCAGGAUGACGGCCUAGCGGCUAAGGCGGGGAAUUC